rnacentral:rRNA from 1 species
CACGAGCGGCGAACGGGUGAGUAACACGUGGGUGACCUGCCCUCCACUCUGGGAUAAGCCUGGGAAACUGGGUCUAAUACCGGAUAGGACCAUUGAUCGCAUGGUUGGUGGUGGAAAGUUUUUUCGGUGGGGGAUGGGCCCGCGGCCUAUCAGCUUGUUGGUGGGGUGAUGGCCUACCAAGGCGGUGACGGGUAGCCGGCCUGAGAGGGCGACCGGCCACACUGGGACUGAGACACGGCCCAGACUCCUACGGGAGGCAGCAGUGGGGAAUAUUGCGCAAUGGGCGGAAGCCUGACGCAGCGACGCCGCGUGGGGGAUGACGGCCUUCGGGUUGUAAACCUCUUUCGCCAGGGACGAAGAGCAAUUGACGGUACCUGGAGAAGAAGCACCGGCCAACUACGUGCCAGCAGCCGCGGUAACACGUAGGGUGCGAGCGUUGUCCGGAAUUAUUGGGCGUAAAGAGCUCGUAGGCGGUGUGUCGCGUCGGCCGUGAAAACUUGGGGCUUAACUCUGAGCGUGCGGUCGAUACGGGCAUCACUUGAGUUCGGCAGGGGAGACUGGAAUUCCUGGUGUAGCGGUGAAAUGCGCAGAUAUCAGGAGGAACACCGGUGGCGAAGGCGGGGUCUCUGGGCCGAUACUGACGCUGAGGAGCGAAAGCGUGGGGAGCGAACAGGAUUUAGAUACCCUGGUAGUCCACGCCGUA